rnacentral:rRNA from 1 species
UACGUAGGGGGCUAGCGUUGUCCGGAAUCAUUGGGCGUAAAGAGCGUGUAGGCGGCUUGGUAAGUCCGCUGUGAAAGUCCAGGGCUUAACCCUGGAAAGCCAGUGGAAACUGUCAAGCUAGAGUCCGGAAGAGGCGAGUGGAACUCCUGGUGUAGCGGUGAAAUGCGCAGAUAUCAGGAAGAACACCAAUGGCGAAGGCGGGUCUCUGGGCCGAUACUGACGCUGAGGAGCGAAAGCGUGGGGAGCGAACAGG